rnacentral:rRNA from 1 species
UGAUUUAUUAAAUAGCUGCGGUAUUUUGACCGUACAAAGGUAGCAUAAUCAAUAGUUUUUUAAUUGGAAACUGGAAUGAAAGAUUUGAUGAAAUAGAAAUUGUCUCAAUUUUAAAAAUAUUAGAAUUUUUUUUUUAGUUAAAAUACUAAAUUAAAUUUAAAAGACGAGAAGACCCUAUAGAUUUUUAUAAUUUUGAUUUAUAAAUUUAUUUAUUAAUUAAAAUUAUUUGGUUGGGGAAAUUAUUAAAUUAGUAAAAUUUUAAUUUUUUUUUUGACAAUAAUUAUUGAGUGUUUGAUCUUUAAAUAUUAAGAUUAAAAGAAUAAAAUACCUUAGGGAUAACAGCGUUAUU